rnacentral:lncRNA from 1 species
UAUCUGAAUCUGAAAAUUAAUUUGUACGUAUAAUAUUUGGUCAUCAUUGACUAUAUUAUGAGGUUGAUUGCUCAUGUUUCUUGAAGCAACUAGGCCAUGAUGUCAGGCUGUCAGGGUGUAUACACUCAGGCAUGAACUGUUGAGCAUAUUAUAAUCAAGGACUGAGCAUUUAUUUUAGCCUUGUAGUUUUUUUUCUUUUUAUAGGCUGAAAGUUUUGUGGACAAUCUUUUAUAUUCAUAAUAACUUGCAUAUUCAUAAAAGCUAAGACAGGAGUUGCAUUAGUAUUGAAUCUUACCAGAAAUUUUAAUGCAUGUUUGAACUAGAUGUAGUACACAUCACAUAUGUAUAAAAAUUGAGAUUCCACCGUUCAAAUAAACCAUGCAGAAUUCAAAGGAGUUGUCCGCUUAUUAUUAUCAGAGAUAUAUACAAAUAUUAUGAAACAUCCUAAACUAGAUUAGGAAGUGAAGCAAGCGAACUAGGAGCUAGCAGAUGACAACUUGGGAGCAAAUAAGAAACCGUAGCAACGCACGGGUAUUUAUGCUAGUAUAUGAUCAUAUAUGAUCGAACUGUUCGUUACUAUGGAUAAUUUAGUAAUUAUUAUGUUGUAAAAAGUGAUAUUUCAAAUGGUACGGUCUUUUAAACUUUAUGGUAGUAUCAAAAAUAAAAUUAUAGUGAUGCUAUUUGUGUUCUUUUACCAUGAUACCCUUAUACUAUAUAUACUACUCAUGUGUAGUAUUUAUACCACACGUGAAGGUUCCAGUAGUAUACAGUUAAUAUUGAACGUCAGAUAUUUUUAUACUAAUUUUUUCAAACACUAGUAUAACCUAGUAUUACCGUAAAAGAGUAUAUGUUCACGAGCUACAUAUGACAAUGAGCGAAGAAUUGUGAAAUGACAAUUUAUAAUUGUCACACAUACACACAAAUAAAAAAGGAAACUUAUCCAAAUGGCACAUUGGCCAUCUAGAAAUGUAUCCAGGAAAAAGUAAGAAGCAUGUUCUUGUGCAGUAGGUUACUUCUUCUUGGCUGGAGAGACUUUCUUUCCCCUGCCGGAUGCAACGUCAUCCAUGCUUUGGCCCUGGCGCCGGUAGCGGCCGCCUGACGCGACGAAGCCGGGGCACGGGCGGUAGGCCUUGAUCGGCCACC